GAAUUCGUGGUAGAUUACUAAGAUUGCCUCAGUAACGGCGAGUGAAGCGGCAAGAGCCCAAACUGCUAAUCUUCACACUGCGUGUGACGAAUUGUAAUCUAGAGGAUGUUCGCUCAAUGGGUCGUGGCGCAGAAGUGCCCUGGAACGGGCCGCCAGAGAGGGUGACAGUCCCGUAUGUGGUGCCAUAACCUAACGAGCGGGUGUUCGACGAGUCGGGUUGUUUUGUAUUGCAGCCCUAAGUGGGAGAUAAACUUCUUCUAAGGCUAAAUAUCUAUGGGAAACCGAUAGCGAACAAGUACUGUGAAGGAAAGAUGAAAAGAACUUUGGAAAGAGAGUCAAAAGACUUGAAAUCGUUGAGAAGGAAGCGGUAGAAAUUUAUUCUUCGGCUGGGGACGGUGGCGGUUGCUUGGUCUAUUGCCGGUCUGCAGUACCUUCAUCGGGCUGCUCUCUGGUACCUGGAUCGGCGGCCGUUUUGCCCCUAGUCGUGAGGCAAAAUGGGGUCGUGCAUCCGCAGAUGCCCUUCGAGCCUGGUGUCUUUUAUAGGCGCAGUUCGGGGGUUGUUGGUGGAAGUGCGGCCUGAGGGUGCUUUGUGCGAUUUUGCCAAAAUGGUUUUUACCGACCCGUCUUGAAACACGGACCAAGGAGUCUAACAUAUAUGCGAGUGUGCUGGUGGAGAAACCAACACGCAUAAUGAAAGUGAGCGAUGCCAAGCGCAAGCAGCAGCAUCGACCGACCAUGAUCCUCCGGUGAAAGGUUUGAGUACGAGCAUAUCUGUUAGGACCCGAAAGAUGGUGAACUAUGCCUGAGUAGGGUGAAGCCAGGGGAAACUCUGGUGGAAGCUCGUAGCGAUACUGACGUGCAAAUCGUUCGUCGAACUUGGGUAUAGGGGCGAAAGACUAAUCGAACCAUCUAGUAGCUGGGUUCCCUCCGAAGUUUCCCUCAGGAUAGCUGGGACAAUAUCGCAGUUUUAUUAGGUAAAGCGAAUGAUUAGAGGCAUCGGGGGUAAACUAUCCUCGACCUAUUCUCAAACUUUAAAUUGGUAAGAACCCUGGCCUUUCUUAAUUGAGGCAUGGGGACUGAAUGCGUGUCCUUAGUGGGCCAUUUUUGGUAAGCAGAACUGGCGAUGAGGGAUGCUCCUAACGUUGAGUUAAGGUGCCCAACUGCACGCUCAUCAGAUACCACAAAGGGUGUUGGUUCAUGAAGACAGCAGGCCGGUGGCCAUGGAAGUCGGAACCCGCUAAGGAGUGUGUAACAACUCCCCUGCCGAAUGAACUAGCCCCGAAAAUGGAUGGCGCUUAAGCGUGCGACCGAUACUCGACCAUUGUAGCGAGAGUGAGGCUGCAAUGAGUAGGAGGGCGUGAGCGUUGUUGCGAAGCCUCUGACGUGAGUCUGGGUUGAACAGCGUUUAGUGCAGAUCUUGGUGGUAGUAGCAAUUAUUCAAAUGAGAACUUUGAAGGCCGAAGUGGAGAAGGUUUCCGUGAGAACAGCAAUUGGUCACGGGUGACUCGAUCCUAAGACAUGGGGGAAUUCCUUGUUAAGUGUGCCAUCUCUGGCGCGUAGUCGAAAGGGAAUGAGGUUAAUAUUCCUCAAGCUGGAUGUGGAUAUUGUAUGGUAACAUAAGUGAGCUCAGAGACGCCAGCGUGAGCCUCUGGAAGAGUUCUCUUUUCUUUUUAACAGGCUAGCGACCUUGAAAUUGGAUUAUCCAGAGCUAAGGUCGUAUGCCUGGAAGAGCACCUUGCUUUUCGAGGGUGUCAGGUGCGCUCACGAUGGUCCUUGAAAAUCUGAGUGAGAGUCUUAUUUCACACCAGGUCGUACCCAUAACCGCAUCAGGCUUCCAAGGUUA
rnacentral:rRNA from 1 species